CCUACGGGAGGCAGCAGUGAGGAAUAUUGGUCAAUGGGCGGAAGCCUGAACCAGCCAAGUAGCGUGCAGGAUGACGGCCCUACGGGUUGUAAACUGUGUCUAUACGGGAAUAACGCGCCUUACCUGAAGGGCUUUGCAUGUACCGUAUGAAUAAGGACCGGCCAAUUUCGUGCCGGCAGCCGCGGUAAUACGGAGGGUCCGGGCGUUAUCCGGAUUUAUUGGGUUGAAAGGGAGCGUAGGCGGCAUGUCAAGCGUGCUGUGAAAUGUCCGGGCUCAACCCGGGGCUUGCAGCGGAAACUGGCGUGCUGGAGUCCGCGGAAGGAAGGCGGAAUU
rnacentral:rRNA from 1 species